rnacentral:rRNA from 1 species
GGAAUUCAAUCCAAUGCACUAUACAUGCAAGUCGUACGCUAGCCGCUGAAUUGAUCCUUCGGGUGAAGUGAGGCAAUGACUAGAGUGGCGAACUGGUGAGUAACACGUAAGAAACCUGCCCUUUAGUGGGGGAUAACAUUUGGAAACAGAUGCUAAUACCGCGUAACAACAAAUCACACAUGUGAUCUGUUUGAAAGGUCCUUUUGGAUCGCUAGAGGAUGGUCUUGCGGCGUAUUAGCUUGUUGGUAGGGUAGAAGCCUACCAAGGCAAUGAUGCGUAGCCGAGUUGAGAGACUGGCCGGCCACAUUGGGACUGAGACACUGCCCAAACUCCUACGGGAGGCUGCAGUAGGGAAUUUUCCGCAAUGCACGAAAGUGUGACGGAGCGACGCCCCGUGUGUGAUGAAGGCUUUCGGGUCGUAAAGCACUGUUGUAAGGGAAGAAUAACUGAAUUCAGAGAAAGUUUUCAGCUUGACGGUACCUUACCAGAAAGGGAUGGCUAAAUACGUGCCAGCAGCCGCGGUAAUACGUAUGUCCCGAGCGUUAUCCGGAUUUAUUGGGCGUAAAGCGAGCGCAGACGGUUUAUUAAGUCUGAUGUGAAAUCCCGAGGCCCAACCUCGGAACUGCAUUGGAAACUGAUUUACUUGAGUGCGAUAGAGGCAAGUGGAACUCCAUGUGUAGCGGUGAAAUGCGUAGAUAUGUGGAAGAACACCAGUGGCGAAAGCGGCUUGCUAGAUCGUAACUGACGUUAAGGCUCGAAAGUAUGGGUAGCAAACGGGAUUAGAUACCCCCGGUAGUCCAUACCGUAAACGAUGGGUGCUAGUUGUUAAGAAGUUUCCGCCUCCCGAGUGACGUAGCAUACGCAUUAAGCACCCCGCCCGGACGAGUACAGGCCGCA